AUCAAGGGAGUAGCCGACGGUUUUUAACCGUGAUUGCAUCGUCACUACGGAAUUUCGAUUUCCGGUGCAAUCUGAAACAGCGAGACUUGUUUAACUAAAUUAAACAGGUCUUUUUCU
rnacentral:ncRNA from 1 species